GCUGGCCACCGAUUGGCACUACGAUGGUCAUCACCAUGUGAGGAACAGCAGACAGGAGCCCCACCUUUGAGGAGGAACAAGACAACACCCAGAAAUGAUGAUAUAGAAGACUGAGGGCCAUCCAACGAACUGAACCAGUACUCCUGCUAAAGGCAUGGCAAUCACAGCACCUGCAUAUGAACCUGGAAAUAAAGAAAAUGGAAAACAUCAA